rnacentral:tRNA from 1 species
ACUCGCUUGGUGAAAAUGGUAAACACGACAGACUAAAACACUUCGUCGGUUCGAGCGAGUC